rnacentral:lncRNA from 1 species
AACCCCUAAAUGGAGAGUUAUAUAGAAAGAGUUGCCUUGAGAGAAGCAUUAACUUUUGGACGAGGAUGCAGCCAAUCCAAGGCAAUGCUGUGGGGGAAAGGAACUGAAGUGCCAAUGCUAUCAACUUCAAAAGCAAGGUUCAACUUGAUGCAUUUACAGUGAAUGUGCUACUUUAAAAUCAUUUAAAAAGAAAUAUGUAGUUGAUGCUGCAAUCUAUAAUAGAAUUGAUUUUUGCAACUUUUUUUCUCAUUGGGCACUUGACUGCCAACUUUGUUAUGUGCCCAUUUAUCAUCUAAUUGUGGCUUUUAGGAUAAAUACAAUUUGCUAUUCUAGGUGACUCAACAUUUCACUACAUUAUAACUUUUCCUAAAGAAUUCCUAAGGAUAAAAUUUAAUUUUCAUGGUUACAUAUUUUUGGGAAUAGUGUACAUAAGGGAAUUAAUUUGUCUGAUUCUUCUUCCAUGAAUUUAAUUUAUUUCAUAAAGUUACAAAGUGGUAAUUUUUACAAACUAAAUAAUUUUAUUUAUUUCUUGUAAUUGCCAAUUCAAUUGUUUGGGCAACAAAAUUGAAAGUUUCUGAAGGACAAAAACUAUUGAUACUGUAGUCAAAUAUUGUAGUCAACCAUGAAUGGAGAGAUAGACUAUUUUAAUUCAAAUAUUCUGAGAAAUAAAAAAAAUUUAAAUAAAUGGUAACGUUGGAUGAAAAAAUGCCAAGGAAAAAUAUGGUUAGGAAAUGAAAGAGAAUAACAGUAUCAAUACUUUUAGCAGUAAAAAUUUUAAGUAUACAAUUAGUAACAGAAUAGAAUUAAAUACUAUGAACAAAACAAAAUAUUAUAUUGAAUUACCUACAGAGAAAGGUAAUAAGGAAAAUUGGAUUGUACCAAAAAAGGAGUUAGUCAUGUCAUUAAAAUUUGUGUCUGCAUUGUGAAAGUGACAUCAUGGAGGAUGGCAGAGUAGGAAGUUUCAAGAAUUAGUUUCUUCAAUUAAAAAAAAAACGAUUUAGUUGACAAAACCAUGGGAACAACUGUUACAGGACUCUGGAGUAUAGCUGAAUACUUACAGCACUGAAGAGAAUGCUGGUGAAGAAAAAAGAUCAUAAGUUUUGAUGAAUUUUGUCAUUUUGCAUAGCAGCUACCAUCUCCCCUCCUCCAUUCCCAUGGUACACAGCUGUAGGAAUAGUGAACGACGUUCCUGAGGUGGCUUGCUGGUGCCAGAUUGGCCGCUAAGAACCUUGCCUCUAGGAAUCGAGGUUGUGUGAUCUGCCUGACUGUUCACUGAGGGAUCACUGCAUGGACUAGCCACUGUUUCUGCUUCCUUGGUCUGAGAAGACUUCCUGGGCAGUAUCUGCAGGGGGAACGUAAGGAGACAGAACAUUUUCUUCUUUCUCUCUUUUCUUAUUGAAUUCAGGCAUUCAAGGAAAUUUCUGUCAGGUCACUGGCUGGCCACAAAUAUAUGGAACAGAGACUUCAGUGGCCACACAGCCAAGGAAUAUAAUUUUUGCAAAAAUAGUUUGGAAAAAUCACUAAAUAAGGGACAACUGCACCCUCUCAACUAAUAAGGGACAACUGCACCCUCCCAACUAAAUAAGGAACGUCAGCAAUCUCUAGGGAAGGAGAAUAAUGAAAAGUAAAAGUAAAAAGUUCUACCAUGUAAGUGGAUAAAUACAGAGAACAUGUAGUUCUAGCUUUUAUUAUGUGUCCUAGUUUAUUAACAUUUUUUAAGAAGAGGAAAAUAAAACAUGUACUUUCUAUAAAAAAAUGCGUAUGAAGUAUUAUACCAUCUUAUUUGGAUAUUUGGAGCCCUUAUUUGAGGGCUCAUCUUGUUCUCUAUUUUUCCACUAAAUUUUGCCUACCUCUCUGCAGCCAACUAGAGUUUACUGCAGUAAUCAAUGAUAUAAAAUGCUUUAUACUUUUAUUCCUAUGUCACAUGUAAAUCAUAUUAAUAUUCCUGUCUGGAAUACUUUGUAUACUUUGAAUAAUUCUUUUGGGAUGGUUCUUGAGAUUUAAAUUUGCAGUUUCCCUUUGUGCUUGAAAAAAAGAUACACACAUGUAUAUAUAUGUGUGUGUGUGCGUGUGUGUGUGUGUGUCUCAUUAAUAUUCUUGUAUAUCUGUGGAAUAAACUACCAUCAUUUAGUAACUCUGAACUGAUUUUCUAAUAGAAAUAAAGUCAAAAUAGAAAAAUAAGAAAGAAAAAAAUCUUUGACUCCAAUUCAUUAUAUGAGCCACUUUGGAGGAAGACAUAUCAUUGUCCCUAGUGAAUUCUAAAACUUGAAAUCAGCUGCCAAGGAAAUAUCCUAAGUUUCAAAGAGGAAAUAAAAUGUUUAGUAGACUGGCUAAACAUUUCUGCUACCACAGCCCUAUAAGAAUUUGAUGUUGCUUUUCAGCAAAAGGAAAAACAAAAAAGAACUUUGACUUUGACUCCAUGGAAUUGCCCUUACCAGUUGCCUAAGGCAGUGAUUCGCAAAGUAUAUUCUGCAGCAUCCUGGGUGUCCCUGAG